rnacentral:rRNA from 1 species
UUGAGAGUUCAAGAGUACGUGAAACCGUCUAGCGGUAAAGAGAGGGGAUCUCGAAGUUCUGAGGGGGACUCAACCUUGGUGGUGCUUGGCCUGGGCGUAUUUGAUCAGCAAUGACUUUGCGUUUAGUCCCGAGUACCUCCCGGACGCACUUUCUCCUCAGUUGACGGCAGGAACUGUUAGGAGCGAACUGAAGGCCCAGGGUGAAGUUGUUGGUUAUGCUGGCAGCCCUUGGUGUCCUAGCUUCGCAUCUGACAGGUAUGUAAGCAAACUCGUAUAGCGAGCAAUUCUCUAUUGCGGUUUGCAUCUCUCUGCCGAGUAGGUCGGUGUCUCCUCUCACCCGUCUUGAAACACGGAC